AGGGCUUUAGUUUAAGUAAAAUAUCUGAGUUGCAAUCAGAGGAUGUAAGUAGUUGCAAGUCCUA
rnacentral:tRNA from 1 species